ensembl:lncRNA
CAUUCAUCCUGCAGCGUCUACUAAGCACUCAACAUCACAGACUGGACUGUAAAAGUAAAUUCCUCCCUACAGCCCGACAUCUUCGUGCAGAGCAGCAAAGUGAAGGCACCAUCUUGUGAUCGCAGCACUUCCAAAAGGUGUCGACCCGGAGCUCCGUCAGAGGAAGUUCGGUGGCCGGAUGAAGCGAUAAAACCAACCUGACACCUGAAGAGACAUGAACAUGACCCAAAACGUCCUGCAGGCUGGAAGUGAGAUAAAUAGAAACAGAAAAUGACACAUCCAUCCAUCCAUUAUCUAUACAUCGCUUAGUCCUCAUUAGGGUCAUGGGGGAUGUUGGAGUCUAUCUCAGCUGACUUGGGUCGAAGGCAGGGAACACCCUGGACAGGUCACCAGUCUAUCGCAGGUCUACAUAUACAG